GAUAUAUAGACAAGGCUGGCCUGAAACACAGAAUCUGCCUCCCCAGUGCUGGGAUCAAAGGCAUCUCUCCUCAUGAACACAUGUAGGACCCCAGGAUGGGUUACCCAACGUCCACAGGAGGCCACACCCCAAUAACUCAGUCCUCAAACCAGGAGAUGCAACAAGCAAGAGGAUUUAAUCAUUUGCACAGACGGGCUUCUGCCUCACUCGGAAAGAGAGAGAGAACAGCAGCCCCGAGCUCAGCUUACAGAUGGAGCUAUUUUGGGGCUGGAGAGAUGGCUCAGCGGUUAAGAA